ensembl:snRNA U6 U6 spliceosomal RNA
AUGCUCACCUCGGCAGCACAUAUACUAAAAACUAAAACAAUACAGGAAGAUUAGCAUGACCCCUGCUCGAGGAUGACACCCAAAUUUGUGAAAGCCUUUUUUU